rnacentral:lncRNA from 1 species
UCCUUCCCUGAGAAGAGCAGCCAUCUUCCUGCUGGGCCUUGACAGGAAGUAAAGAGACAUUGAACUCCUUCAGACUUCAACAGCAAUGUAACAAAAUGGAGACAGAUAUAAGGAACGUAUCAAGACUACAGAAGACACAUUGCAGCCUAUUCUACUAUUAAACAGUAAGUAUGUUAUUUGGCUUUACGGUUGUGAAUAAU